UUAUUGAUGUCGACUUCGAGGAGAAGUGAAGCUACCAUCAAUCCAUUUGGCUCUGUUAAACGUAGUAUUCUUUCUUUCUGUGUUAGCACCUUUCUCUACAAUUCUACUUUGUUGUUCUUACAUACCAAGUUAGUUCACAUUUAUGCACCUGUAAAUUCUUUUAUCUUCAUGUUAUGAGUACAAGAAAUGGGAUACCAAACAAAAGGAAACGGGAAACGAAAAGAAUAAAAGAAACACUUUCUUGGGGAACUAUACCUUCUCGUUAUCUCUGCAGAAAACAGUAUUUGGUUAGGUAAGCUAGGUAGAAUCAUUUUUGCGUCAAACUCUUAGGAUUAGCGAUCGUCACUCACUUCAUAGAUGAAAGCGUAAAUCAGUUGGACCUGGUGCAC
rnacentral:lncRNA from 1 species